GACGAACGCUGGCGGCGCGCUUAACACAUGCAAGUCGAACGGAAAGGCCUGCUUUCCCUUGUGGUUUGCGGGUACUCGAGUGGCGAACGGGUGAGUAACACGUGAGUGAUCUGCCCCCAACUUGGGUAUAAGCCUGGGAAACUGGGUCUAAUUCCCGAUAGGACUGCAGGGUGGUGCCUGUGGUGGAAAACGAUUUUCUAGUGGUUGGGGAUGAGCUCGCGGCCUAUCAGCUUGUUGGUGGGGUAAUGGCCUACCAAGGCGGCGACGGGUAGCCGGCCUGAGAGGGUGGACGGCGACAUUGGGACUGGGAUACGGCCCAGACGCCUACGGGAGGCAGCAGUGGGGAAUAUUACACAAUGGGCGGAAGCCUGAUGCAGCGACGCCGCGUGGGGGAUGACGGCCUUCGGGUUGUAAACUCCUUUCGACCGCGAGGAAGCCACCUGGUUGGAAGGGUGGUGACGGUAGUGGUAGAAGAAGCACCGGCUAACUACGUG
rnacentral:rRNA from 1 species